rnacentral:lncRNA from 1 species
UGGGAGCGGAGAGAGCGACUCGCGGUGGGCUCACACGGCAUGAAGGGCGAACGGACUGCAGGAGCAGGGAGCGGGUCGCUGUGCGGACACACUCUCCCACUCGCAGAUGCUCUCCGCUCCCAGUACCCACGAGAGGAACGUUUCUCUCGUGGGUACAUCGCGUCCUUUCCUGGGGCUGCCCAUCGCCCGUGCCCAGAAGGAUGGGUGCGUGUCGCAGCCCACCCGAAUUCACCCUGCCCCGCUUCCCUGCUUGGGGAUGCAGCUGGAGGCGUUCCAUAGUCGCUAUUAUUAUUAUCAUCAUCACCAUCCUCAUUAUUCUUAUUGUUAUAAGAGAUCCCACCACCCGAGCCAGUUAGCAUAGAAACCCUCCCGUACACAUACGUUUAUUCCUUUCCCAGGUGUUGGGAUGGGGAGAAGUGUUUUGGCUGUGUUAUAACUGAUGCUUUCCCAGCCAGCUCCUAUCGCAAUUCUCUAUCCGUGACGGUACGAUCCAUCUCACCCUUCCAUACAGAGGGUAAUACUGCAUUUCUUCUCCAUUCACAACGUUUCUGGUGACCCUCAUUGCGGAUGAAACGACUGGCUGCGGCUCUCGGCCGCCCGGCUCCGUCCUCUCCUCCGGCCGCUUCUCCCC